CCCAACGACCUGGAACAUCGACGCUUAAGCUUUGGUAUGAGAUAUAUGGGAUUUUGUCAAGCCGGUCUUCCAAAGCAGGCGACUUGGGAUGAUUAUCGGAUGUCAUUCAAUUACUUUUAGAUGAUGCCCAUCAUCUUUUUGUGCAUUUCAUGUUGGCAACCUUGCUAUUGUGCUUGCUGGUUGAUGAUAGUGUCCGUGCAAUGAUAUAAGCUUGCUAAAGGAAACCAAUAUAAGGUGGGAGCAUGGAGUGUAUAGCCUUGCUUGUUUCUGCGACGGCCUGAUAAGCCGAUCGUGGGUAUCAGACCCCCUGGGAGUGGAUGCAGGACACUGGAUUUGCCAGUCAGAUGAAGCACAUUUCAUCAACUCCCUUCUGUGAUGCCUCGGACGAAUUAGAAGUACAACUGGCUGAAGAAAUACAGGAGUACGUUAACACCAAAUAUCCUUCGGUGCACAACAUUCAGGAGAAGAAAAUGCUCGAACGUUGCAGUCAGAAGUUUUGGCAAACAAUUCUAAAAAAAACUCCAUACCAACUGUGAAAACUUACACCGAGGAUGUCCACAGCUCAAACUACACCAACAGUACCUCCAGUGAUAUAAGUCAUUCCAGAGCUACAAAAUUGCCAUCUACUUCAAACAUCCAGCUGUCUUCUGCUGCAACAAAUACUUGUGUACCACAGUUUACAAAAGAAUUGAAACCAGAGAUAGACUCAUUCUUAUCUUCCUUCGAUUUCUUGGAUUUUCCUAUGCCUGCUAAAUAUCCUCCAAGUUAUGAUUUGGAAAUCAGCAAUUUACAGAUCGAUUUGUUCAUCCACAAAUUCUCUCAAUGCUUAAAUCUGGACAUCUCAGCAAACAAUAAGCUUCUUUUCACUAUCGGCUCACCAAGUUCUCAGGUGUUAGAAUGACAAGAGGUUUUCAACAAAGACCAAACCAACAAAAUUUACAGCGAUAAUCAGACUACACCUUCGCAAGGUACCCAAUUUUUUUUGGCCAUUUCACUAUUAUUUGUUUAGUCCACAAACCUUCUUUUUAUCUAAGUACAUUUUCAUAUGCAUCUUUGUAUAGUCUUUCAUGGAUGUAAUCCCUUUCUCUGUUUUCAAUAAAAUUGUAGUCCUAUUUGAAUCCAUGAAAAGGGACCCAGCGUGGAAGGAGUUGCAUGCUUCAGACCGCCUUAAUUUCAUACAGGAAAAGGUUAAAAAUGAAGCUUGCCCAUACCAGCUAUUAAGUUUGGGCAAUGCAUACAAUAAAAUGGGGCUUUAUUUGACCCAACUUUGGAGGCUUAAGGACGUGCGUGGAGGGGGACGAAACGUCCGCUUUAGCUGAUCGUUCCCACGGACGAUCAGUUCGCUGGGGAAUCAUAUUUCGCGCAUAAGUCGGUAUAUAGCUACCAGUUUCCGCGUAGUUCGCCGGGGAACCCCCCCCCCCCUUACGCGUAGUCCUCUUCUGU